rnacentral:lncRNA from 1 species
CGGCCUUGCAUGGUGCUCUAUGGCUCUUCUGCAUGGCCCCAGCCUAGGCUGCCCCAUGGAUGGCAUUUGUGCUGCACUAGCCUUUGCCUGAAAUGCCCCCUCUUCCCGAUGCACGCCGUCCCUGCGUGGAGACUUGGUGGAGUCACGGGUACCAACCUGUGGGUUCAGGCAUUCAGAGUCCUUCUGCCAGGACUGGCUGGAAGAGGCUCCAGGGUGGUGCUGAGGCCAGCUGCGUUUUCUCCAAGCCAAAAUUCCAGUCCAAAGUCAGUGACUUGGAGCGGGAACAUAAGAUGCAGCUGGCAAUAUUCAAGAUGGCGGCAGUUCUGUCUACUUCAAGUGCUGAUGGUAAACAGAGCCCCUCUGCCAACCCACAACAGGCACAGCACAA